rnacentral:rRNA from 1 species
GACGAACGCUGGCGGCGUGCUUAACACUUGCAAGUCGAACGGGUCUGCCCUGUUUUUUGCGGGGUGGGUCAGUGGCGAACGGGUGAGUAACACGUGAGUAACCUGCCCCUCACUUCUGGAUAACCGCUUGAAAGGGUGGCUAAUACGGGGUGUUCUGGCUGUGCCGCAUGGUGUGGCUGGGAAAGAUUCACUUUUGUGGUGUUUUGGUGGGGGAUGGGCUCGCGGCCUAUCAGCUUGUUGGUGGGGUGAUGGCCUGCCAAGGCUUUGACGGGUAGCCGGCCUGAGAGGGUGGGCGGUCACACUGGGACUGAGAUACGGCCCAGACUCCUGCGGGAGGCAGCAGUGGGGGGUAUUGCACAAUGGGCGGAAGCCUGAUGCAGCGACGUCGCGUGAGGGAUGGAGGCCUUCGGGUUGUGAACCUCUUUCGCCGGUGAAGAAGGUCCUGCUCUUUGUGGUGGGGUUGACGGUAGCCGGGUUAUGAAGCGCCGGCUAACUACGUG